UUGAACUAAAAAAUUCUCUCAAAUGUCGAAAUAGAUAAAUGUGGAUCUGUAAUGACCACAUAUUUAAACAUGGAAAUCAGUCACUCAUUAGUGAUUUAAUUAUUAUUUAUGUUAUAUAUGUGCAUUAGUAUAAAAUAAGAAUUAUUAUCAAAAAGUAGACAUUUGCCAUAUACUUUCUUAUGAAGAUUUUAUUAUAUUCUAAGUGUGUCAUGCAUGUUAAUUAUGAAUUUUAACAUUCAUGUUUUAUGUCCGAUAAUAUUAGAAUUUAAAGAUUUGGUCAUAGAGUCACUUAGAUACGGUUUAGUAUCUUGGGAUUAGUGGGACAAGACUUUUGAAAAUUUAAUAUGUCAGGAUUGUGCGGGAUAAUGGAGUUUGACUAUUUUAUCCUUAAUAUUUAAAGAUUGUUGAACAAGAAAGUAAGCGCAUUUGGGUAUUUAGCCUUAAGUUGAGUUUGUCUUUUUCCUUUUAGUGGGAUUUUUAGAGGGGUGAAUUAAUGUAAUUUUGAGCUGAUCUUUAUUAAUUAAAGAAAGGAAUUAAAUUAGAUAAACAUUAGAAACCAAAAGCACUUUCUCUCUCCAUAAUCUCUCUCUAUUCAACCUAACCUAGAACCCAAAGAACCAAACUUAAUUUUCACCAAUGUCUUGAAGAUUUACAGCAAGGAGUGAAGAGUAUUUUGUCUAGGAAGAUCAAGAUUUCAGCUUCUUCCGCUCGCUGUUCUAGGAUAUGUGCAAGCUUCGAAGUCUGACUACGCAAACUAUCCUGAGUAGGUUGUCCAUCACUACCAACAACCAAUUCCUCCAUAUCUACAAAUAGAGGCACCUCACCUCCAAUGACGUUGCUCAAAAACUCUGCUUUAGACCGCAAACAUAAAACAGAUCACACUGUCAACUGCAAAUAAGAACAAAAAGAUUAUUAAACUUAUAUUAAAAUGAAACAAAUAAAUAAACGUGAACAAGUACAAUG